CCUGCAUCAAGGGCACAACUUGUCUCAGCUCAGGUGUACCAUUUAGAAAGAGACCCCAUCUUGAUUUAGAAACCUCAAGUGAUGGAGAAUCGACCAUGUCCCUAGAUACUAAAGAAUUGGCAUCAGCUUGAUUUUGGGAAACAUGGACUCCAGAACUGGACAUGGUAUUCCAGGAAUGGUCCCGCUAACGAAGUUAACAGAGAUGACUGAUAAACAUUUUGAACAGCGCAGAGCCAAAAACAAAUCUCUUCAGAAACUUACUAGAAACAAGACCACAGGCUGAUGAGUCCACAUUUACAAUUACUUUUUGAGAUCUAGCAGUUAACCAGAUUUUAAUCCAUAUAAUAUGGACUACACUGAUUUUGUAUAGUUGAUAUUUUCUAACCCUCGACCUCUGGGGGAAAGUUUAUGU